rnacentral:lncRNA from 1 species
CGUUUCAGACAGAACUGACUCUUCUGCAUGUUUAUUGUCAGUCCGGCCUUGUGUAAUUGAAGAGCAACUUCCGUAGCAAGUGGUCUUCAAAGUUGUUUGAAAGCACCAAUAAGUCAUCAAGAUAUACCAACACAUGAGAUUUGAGUUGAUACGGAAUUACAAUGUCCAUCAACCGACUCAUCGUGUGUGGUGCGUUUGUCAAUCCAAACGGCAUUCUUUUAAACUGAUAAAGCGGCCUAUUUGGUACUGUGAAAGCUGUUUUCGCACGAGAUUCUUGGUCUAAUCUAAUCUGCCAGAAGGCAUCCUUAAGGUCUAUCUUUGUAAUACAGUGAACCGGCGGCAACCUACUUAACAAGCCAUCCAUGAUCGGAAUUGGAUACGCAUCUCUGACUGUAACUGCGUUGAGUUUGCGGGCAUCUAAACAAAGUCGCACCUUACCAGGUUUGAUGUGCAGUGUGACAGGAGAUGACCACGGGGAGCUCGGAGCUUCUUCAAUAACGUCCAUACUCAACAUGCGAUCAAUCUCUGCACAUAAAAGGGUCUCCUUUGCUGGAGACAAAGGGUAAAAUCUUUGCUUAACUGGCUUGCUGUUAGCCGUAUCAAUGUGGUGCUCUAUUAGGGUCGUUAACCCCAGUCCAUUCUUUUCGAAUGACGGAAACAAUUCGAUCACGUGCUGUAACUGCUUCUUUUGAGAAAUCGACAAGGCUAACUUGAGCAACUCGUGCUCGGAUUGAAAGGAUAACUCGCUUACUGUCCAUGAUGAUGAUGGAACGAUAGAAAUGCCAAAUCUUUUCCAAAAGUCCAUUCCACAUAUUAUAUCCUGUUGGAUAGAUGAAACUAUUAGAAAUUCAAAGUCCGAGUGUAUUGAAUUGUAAUUCAGAGGAACUUUAAUAAAACCAGCUACAAUCUGAGUCUGACCGUCAGCAGUACGAACAACGCCUUUCAUUUUGUUUGUCAGAAGAUUUUUCGAGAGAAUUUUAUCGGCUAAUUUUCCUCCGA